AUGAACGCUGGCGGCGUGCCUAAUACCUGCAAGUCGAGCGAACAGACGAGGAGCUUGCUCCUCUGACGUUAGCGGCGGACGGGUGAGUAACACGUGGAUAACCUACCUAUAAGACUGGUAUAACUUCGGGAAACCGGAGCUAAUACCGGAUAAUAUAUUGAACCGCAUGGUUCAAUAGUGAAAGACGGUUUUGCUGUCACUUAUAGAUGGAUCCGCGCCGCAUUAGCUAGUUGGUAAGGUAACGGCUUACCAAGGCAACGAUGCGUAGCCGACCUGAGAGGGUGAUCGGCCACACUGGAACUGAGACACGGUCCAGACUCCUACGGGAGGCAGCAGUAGGGAAUCUUCCGCAAUGGGCGAAAGCCUGACGGAGCAACGCCGCGUGAGUGAUGAAGGUCUUCGGAUCGUAAAACUCUGUUAUUAGGGAAGAACAAAUGUGUAAGUAACUAUGCACGUCUUGACGGUACCUAAUCAGAAAGCCACGGCUAACUACGUG
rnacentral:rRNA from 1 species